rnacentral:rRNA from 1 species
GAUGAACGCUGGCGGCGUGCCUAAUACAUGCAAGUCGAGCGAAUGGAUUAAGAGCUUGCUCUUAUGAAGUUAGCGGCGGACGGGUGAGUAACACGUGGGUAACCUGCCCAUAAGACUGGGAUAACUCCGGGAAACCGGGGCUAAUACCGGAUAACAUUUUGAACCGCAUGGUUCGAAAUUGAAAGGCGGCUUCGGCUGUCACUUAUGGAUGGACCGCCGUCGCAUUAGCGAGUUGGUGCGGUAACGGCUCACCAAGGCAACGAUGCGUAGCCGAACUGAGAGGGUGAUCGGCCACACUGGGACUGAGACACGUCCCAGACUCCUACGGGAGGCAGCAGUAGGGAAUCUUCCGCAAUGGACGAAAGUCUGACGGAGCAACGCCGCGUGAGUGAUGAAGGCUUUCGGGUCGUAAAACUCUGUUGUUAGGGAAGAACAAGUGCUAGUUGAAUAAGCUGGCACCUUGACGGUACCUAACCAGAAAGCCACGGCUAACUACGUGCCAGCAGCCGCAGUAA